rnacentral:tRNA from 1 species
UAGCUCAGUAGGUAGAACAUGAGACUCUUAAUCUCAGUGUUAUGGGUUUGUGCCCCAU